AAUACGUAGGUGGCGAGCGUUGUCCGGAAUUACUGGGUGUAAAGGGCGUGUAGGCGGGUUUGCAAGUCAGAUGUGAAAUUCCAGGGCUCAACCCUGGCGCUGCAUCUGAAACUGUAGAUCUUGAGUGCUGGAGAGGGAAGCGGAAUUCCUAGUGUAGCGGUGAAAUGCGUAGAUAUUAGGAGGAACACCAGUGGCGAAGGCGGCUUUCUGGACAGUAACUGACGCUGAGGCGCGAAAGCGUGGGGAGCAAACAGGA
rnacentral:rRNA from 1 species